rnacentral:rRNA from 1 species
AUUGAACGCUGGCGGCAGGCCUAACACAUGCAAGUCGAACGAGUGGCGGACGGGUGAGUAAUGUCUGGGAAACUGCCUGAUGGAGGGGGAUAACUACUGGAAACGGUAGCUAAUACCGCAUACCAUCGGAUGUGCCCAGAUGGGAUUCGCUAGUAGGUGGGGUAAAGGCUCACCUAGGCGACGAUCCCUAGCUGGUCUGAGAGGAUGACAAGGCAAACGUGGAAGGGAGAACGGUCCAGACUCCUAAGGGAGGCAGGAGUGGGGAAAAGUGCACAAAGGGGACAAGCCUGAUGGAGCCAUGCCGUGUGUAGGAAGAAAGCCUUCGGGUUGUAAAGUACUUUCAGCGGGGAAGCGUUACCCGCAGAAGAAGCACCGGGUAACUCCGUGCCAGCAGGCGGGGGAAUUC